rnacentral:rRNA from 1 species
AUUGAACGCUGGCGGCAUGCCUUACACAUGCAAGUCGAACGGCAGCAUAGGAGCUUGCUCCUGAUGGCGAGUGGCGAACGGGUGAGUAAUAUAUCGGAACGUGCCCUAGAGUGGGGGAUAACUAGUCGAAAGACUAGCUAAUACCGCAUACGAUCUACGGAUGAAAGUGGGGGAUCGCAAGACCUCAUGCUCCUGGAGCGGCCGAUAUCUGAUUAGCUAGUUGGUGGGGUAAAAGCCUACCAAGGCAACGAUAAGUAGCUGGUUUGAGAGGACGACCAGCCACCCUGGAACUGAUGCACGGCCCAGACUCCUACGGGAGGCAGCAGUGGGGAAUUUUGGAGAAUGGGGGCAACCCUGAUCCGGCAAUGCCGCGUGAGUGAAGAAGGCCUUCGGGUUGUAAAGCUCUUUUGUCAGGGAAGAAACGGUAGUAGCUAAUAUCUAUUACUAAUGACGGUACCUGAAGAAUAAGCACCGGCUAACUACGUGCCAGCCGCCGCGGUAAGAC